CCUACGGGAGGCUGCAGUGAGGAAUAUUGGUCAAUGGGCGUAAGCCUGAACCAGCCAAGUCGCGUGAGGGAUGAAGGUUCUAUGGAUCGUAAGCCUCUUUUAUAAGGGAAUAAAGUGCGGCACGUGUCCCUUUUUGUAUGUACUUUAUGAAUAAGGAUCGGCUAACUCCGUGCCAGCAGCCGCGGUAAUACGGAGGAUCCGAGCGUUAUCCGGAUUUAUUGGGUUUAAAGGGUGCGUAGGCGGGCUGUUAAGUCAGCGGUGAAAGUCUGUGGCUCAACCAGAGAAUUGCCGUUGAUACUGGGAGGCUUGAGUAUAGUUGAGGCAGGUGGAAUGCGUGGUGUAGCGGUGAAAUGCUUAGAGAUCACGAAGAACCCCGAUUGCGAAGGCAGCCUACCAAGCCAUGACUGACGCUGAUGCACGAAAGCGUGGGGAUCAAACAGGAUUAGAUACCCUUGUAGUC
rnacentral:rRNA from 1 species